AGUGAACGCUGGCGGUAGGCCUAACACAUGCAAGUCGAACGGCAGCACAGUAAGAGCUUGCUCUUACGGGUGGCGAGUGGCGGACGGGUGAGGAAUACAUCGGAAUCUACUUUUUCGUGGGGGAUAACGUAGGGAAACUUACGCUAAUACCGCAUACGACCUACGGGUGAAAGCAGGGGAUCUUCGGACCUUGCGCGAUUGAAUGAGCCGAUGUCGGAUUAGCUAGUUGGCGGGGUAAAGGCCCACCAAGGCGACGAUCCGUAGCUGGUCUGAGAGGAUGAUCAGCCACACUGGAACUGAGACACGGUCCAGACUCCGACGGGAGGCAGCAGUGGGGAAUAUUGGACAAUGGGCGCAAGCCUGAUCCAGCCAUACCGCGUGGGUGAAGAAGGCCUUCGGGUUGUAAAGCCCUUUUGUUGGGAAAGAAAAGCAGCAGGUUAAUACCCCGCUGUUAUGACGGUACCCAAAGAAUAAGCACCGGCUAACUUCGUG
rnacentral:rRNA from 1 species